rnacentral:misc_RNA from 1 species
UACGUAGGGGGCAAGCGUUGUCCGGAAUCAUUGGGCGUAAAGGGCUCGUAGGCGGUUUGUCGCGUCGGGAGUGAAAACACCGGGCUUAACUCGGUGCUUGCUUCCGAUACGGGCAGACUAGAGGUAUGCAGGGGAGAACGGAAUUCCUGGUGUAGCGGUGAAAUGCGCAGAUAUCAGGAGGAACACCGGUGGCGAAGGCGGUUCUCUGGGCAUUACCUGACGCUGAGGAGCGAAAGCAUGGGGAGCGAACAGG